GAAAACGCGUUGAAAAGCAGAAGUAAUUCAUUUUUUGCUGCACAGAGAGACCCUGUUUGCUGAAAAGGGGAGAGCGAGGAUGAAUGAAUACGGCUUGGAGCGGCUCGCUGAAACUGUCAGUAGGCGAUGACGGGUGCGCCCGAUACAGCGCGUGAGUCAUGCACUCACCGAGGCUUUAUUCGUGAGAAUGGAGCAUAUAGAGGUGGUACCGCGUUUACAACGCCCUCUGU
rnacentral:ncRNA from 1 species